CUUGCUAUAGCUUAGACCAAUAGAGUAGUAAACAUAGGACACAAAAACUGAAUUUUUGAAAAUACUUUUAGGAGGCUUAAAAUUACAAUUGGCAACCCAUGCCAAUAAACUUAGAACCCAAAAUGUGGUAUAAAUAUGCAUCAAACAUUUGUAUACAUAUUAUGUAUGAAAAAGUAAAGAAUUUGAGUGAAUAGUAAAGUGUGAAUAGUAAUUCCAAAGGCAUAAG
rnacentral:misc_RNA from 1 species